CUGUUCAAGCAUUGUGUCAAUAAUAACUGCUGCUGUGAAGAGAAGAAUUGUUAGACUCAGUGUUGAACAUCAGCUACUUUCUCCUGUUGCUUUAAACCUUCUUGUAGAGAUGGAACAUUGGCUGUGGAUGAUUCUUGCUGCUCUUUUCUUUGAGUGUAAAGGAGAAGACAGAGUGAUCCAGGAAACAGGAGAUGUCAUUGCUGCUGAAGGAGAGACAGUUAUACUCCCUUGUACAUAUGAAACCAGUUACUCUGGUUCUACACUGUUCUGGUACAAACAAGAAGCAAAUGAUUUUCCAAAGCUUCUGCUGCAGCGCGUCUCAACAACAGCAGGUAAUCCUGCAGAAAAACAGAAAGAGAGAAUCGAUGCUGUGGCCAACAAGACAUCAGUUCCUCUGGAGAUCCAGAAGCUUCAGCUGUCUGACUCUGCUGUGUACUACUGUGCUCUGAGGCCCACAGUGACAGGAAACAGCACAACUCUGUACAAAAACUUUUGGAGCAAAGACAACAGAAUACUCCACAACAUCCACUAGAGGGAGUCAAACACUGUCACAGUAUCUUACAGUUGCUAACUCACAUUUCUCUACACUGAGUCCAAUUUUUCAAGACUCUUCACACAGUCAGUACAACAGCAGUCGGUGUGGACGACUCUGUGGGUCACUUUCCACUGCUCGGACACAAAAUGCAGACAAUCACCACAUCUUCAAACUUGGUUCAAAACAUAAAACUUGAUACAAAAUGACUGUAAAUCAGCCUGAUACUUUCUACAUUCAUUCAUUGAUGAUCUCUAUGAAAGACUUGUACCAGGUGAGGAAAGGGGGCAGCUGAGGCUGAAUCCACUGGGUUUUGUAAUUGUGUGGGACCAUGUGGUGUUUCAUUGUUCUCUCCCAGUCAUCUCAAUGGUUUCUUAUGAUCCAGUCCAGAUAAUGAAAGACAGCAGGCAGAGUCGCUCUGACGUGUGAUGCGUGGACAUCAGUUGCAACUGAAUCUUACGUUGCACACUCUAUGCGUGAGAUGAGCAACAACUGGAAGCUGGUAAGUCAUGUCCUCCAGAGUGAUGAGUGAGAGUCACACCGGUGCAAAUGUAGCUGAGCUGCUGCAGAAAGUAGCAGAA